GAUGGUUAUGUGGUAGACUUUUCAGUAGUAAUUUGAUAGCACAUAUGAACCCCAUGGGUUUUGCACAUCAGUGAAUUGAGAAUUACUUUGUCCUAAAGUCGAAUGGCCAAAAAAGAAUAUACCUUCAUGGGAAUCCCUUGAGAAAAAAAAUAACAAUUUUUCUACUGUUCCAGUAUGUCAUAAGAUUCUUAUAUCCUUUCACACUUCAUAAAUGCAAUUAAUGAUCUCUCUCUCUCUCUCUGGUGCAAAUUACUUUGUGUACAUAUUCUGAUGUAGUCUUGAUAAUUGCCCUUGCAGUGUAAUCUCUAAGAGAUUAUUUACAAGAUUUGCAAAGAUUAUGGCAAUGUCAAAUAUAUCAUCUUGGUGAAAUAGAAAACAAAGAAUAAUAAUUAGUCAUUUCUACAAAGUUUGGAAUUUACUAUGACUGUUGGUAUAAAGUUUAAUUCCACUUAUAAAACAAGUCACUUCGUGUCACUAAAAUUAAAGCAAAUUUCCAGAAUCGUGUCUUAACCACGUUAAUAUCAAUUCGAAAUGGAAUCAUUGUUUUGGCUGUCUUGUGCUUGAUAUUAUAUGAACCAGUCUGUAAACUAUACAUGAACCAAAAAUAUCCAAGGAAGCAGAGGUGGUUGAAUCAAUUCCAUCAAUUUUUUCAAAGGCUGUUGACUCAUGAUCUAGUGGUUAAAAUGGAGACCCGGGAAAAGCAGAAUAAAACCAAGAUUCUGUCCUCAGCUGAAUGACAAGUCUCACACACCAUGCUUCCUUCCUUCCAGGGUGCUUAUGAGAAAGAGAGAGUUUUCAGAACCUCAGAUCCAGUCCCAUAUGACUGUUGUUAUCAGAAGGCUGUCCAGAUGGCACUGUGUGUAAGCCUUUGGUAAUAUUCUUUACAUUGUCAUAACACCUACAACAAUUUGAUUUCCUAAUGCUUUUCCCAUGGGUUAGUAUUCAGUGUUUUCUAGGUUUUGAAGGUAGAGGGAUGCAUCAUAUCUCACUGGCCUACAGAAGCUCUUGCAACUAUUAUAUUGAUACAUAAAGGAAUAAAUGACAGGUGCAGCAUCAUGAUUUGACUUUCCAUUUGUAAGCUGGAUUUGGUGAAGUUUGACCCUGGUGCUUUCUGUUCCACUGUUAAGUGACAAAGUUACUCAUCUGUACAUAAGCAUCUGAAAUUUUAGCAGGUAAUUACGUAAAUGAAGUAUUUUACACAAAGCAUUAAAAUUUGUAUCAGAACAGCUCACAUUAUUUCUCAGUCACUAUUGGCAUAUGUAAAACACUUUUAAAGCUCUCAACAAGAUAAUAAAGUAAAACAUUUUUCUCUCUUCCUUCUUAGUCGUUAUCUAGAUAUUUUUCUUUUAGAUAAACAAUUGGCAUUGUGUUUACUGAAGCUCCCAUUGAUAUUCCCCAAUAGUGUUUGCAACUUGAGUUUUAUUCCAGCAGCUACAAGAAAUGAGUCCACAGUGCAGAGCAGGAGGUCCCUCUGGAACCUGAGAUUAUUUGUUCUCUCACUGUUCUAAAGGUUUUGAUCGUCUCAUUUUGAUGUCCUCAAAUCAAGACCACUUUGCAGGAAUGUCAAUCAUGUGAAAUGAGAGAGCCAAUCAGCAAAAUCCUGUCUCAACCAGCCCAGGUGCCCCAAAUCCAGAUCGGAGGACCACCCCUCACGUCACCACCAUCACCUGCCUGGUCCGAGCCGUCACCCCCCGUCACCACCUCACCAGGCCCUGCUCCAUCCUCCAUGCUCCAUCCAGGGUAAGCCUUUUAAUGCAUAAGUCACAUCAUGUCACUCAUCAAACCCUCCGAUGGCCACCAGCCAACUUAAAAUCUAACGUGCUUGCUGGGAUUUAGGGCUGCAGCUCUAAUGUCCUCUCUCACUCUCCAGCCAACUGUUCCUGAAACCCUCCCUGCGGCACAGGCCUCAGGCCCCUGCACUAUGUCCCUUGGUCUGGAGCCUUCUCCCCUAGACAUUCACAUGCCCCACUUCCCCCGUUCACUCUCUGCUCAAAUGUCACUUCCCCUACCUUCCCUGACCACCCAUCUAAAAUGCAUCCCCUUAGCUCUCCCCUAGCCUGAUUUAUUUUUCUUCAUAAUAGUUAUAACUUCCCAUUAUAUUUUUUCCAUUUUUCCGAUAUAAUCUAUAUACAGUAAAAUUCACCCCCUUUUUUAAUGCACAGUUCUCUGAACAUUGACAAAAAACGUACAGCCCUUUAAUCAUCACCACCAUCAAGAUAGACAGCAGCUCCUUCACUCCCCAAAUUCACUCACUCCCCCUUGGAGUCAAGCCCUUCACACCUGGUCCUCAGCAAUCUGUUUUCUGUCCUUACAGUUUUGCCUUUUGCAGAGCAUCACCUAAAGGAUGGAGUCAUACAGUAUGUGGUGUUUUGCGCCUGUCUUCCUUCCUUCGUGUAAUGCGUGUGGGGUUCAUUCACGAUGUUGGAUAUGGCGGGUCUUUCCUUUUGUUGCUGUGUAGUAUUCCAUUGUGUGGGCGACCAGAGGCUGUUUAUCUAUUCCCUACUGAGGAUAUGUGAGUCGCUUUCAGUUUUGAGGGGACAUGAUUACAGCUGCUACAGCAACUUGUGAUCAAGUUCUUGUGAAGACAUAAGGUCUCAUUUUUUUCUUGAGUAAAUACCUAGGAGUUGAGUUGCUGGGCCAUACGGUAACUGUAUGUUUAACUUUACAAGAAUCUGGCAAUCCUUUGCCAGAGCGGCUGUACCGUCUUACAUUUCCACCAGCAAGAGACGGCAGCUGCAGUUGGUCUGCAUCCUCACCAGCACUUGGUGGUGUUGGUUUUUUGGUUUGUUUUUUGUUUCACCGUUCUAACCAGUGUACAGUGGUAUCUCGUCAUGGUCCCGUCAUUACGUAUUGAUUUGUGAGAGACUAAAUAUACAAAUGGACAGUGGCUAGACCACAUAUGGCAACAAACUAUAACCCACCACUUCUGCAGCAGCCAGCCCAGAAUGGUCCAGACUGAGUCAGACAGUGCCAGCUCCCUCUAAUUUUUGCCCCCCCGCCUCCAACUCAGGACCUACCCAAGAGAGACAAAUAUGUUCCCCUAACGAAGCACAUAGGAUGCCCUAUUAACCCCUCUCUAGCUUCCUGAGGCCAGCGACCUCCAGCCAGAGCACACCUGAAGUCUUUCCCUUAUGUCCACCUUAAAGGCAUCCCAGUUCCCUGCCUGCCUUUGACUCUGCCUAACACGAGUGACAGUGGCUGACUCCCUGCUCUAGGAAGCUCUGAAUAUAACCUCUGCUUGUUCUCCUUUGAGUGGUCUUCCUUUAUCUUCCAAGCCUGUGUAUUCACUGUCUUCUUCCAUCAGGAGAGGGUAUCUGUGCCCCUCUGGAUCCUCACUGCCUGGAACGGUGUCUGGCAUUCUAAUAGAUGCUCCAAAAAACCUGUUGAUGGACUUCAGGAAACUCCAGGCUUCAGUUUGAGCCCGUGGCUUAUUUCCUUUGAAUGGGGGCAGAAACUGUAGCCCAGGAAGUUGCCGGAGCAGUGAGGCCUGGGGCUCUAGCAGGUCCCUUGGCCUCUGCUAGGGUUGGGGUGGGCCCAGCUCUUCUCCUUCUCCAGACCCACCCCGUCUGCUGGUUGGCAGCUUCCUGCCCCAUCUGAGCAGCCCCCUCUGCUUCCACGGGGAGAGGUAGAGGGUUUGGGCCAGCACAGGAGUGCAGCGAGAAGGCCUUCCAGUUCUUUCUAAGGAUCUUGUCUGCUGUGGAAGAAUGCUGAGCAGCCCCGGGAAAGGAAGCCUACAGAAGGCUCUUUCGGAGGCAGCCAGAAUCUUCUCUGCUUUUGGAAACUGCCUGUUAGACUAAACAUCUCGUUGCCCCAAAUUGCACCAAUUUUGGAAACGCUCCCCGAGCUCUGUCUCUCCCUGGGAAAAGGGAUUUAUAAACCCUUAGUCUGAAGCAGCUCUGCAUGCAUCUCAGCUCAAGGGCUUUCAAAAGGCCCUUCUAGAAGUCAACUUCAGAAAUUGGACUUGCAGUAGCAGAAAAAGCAGAUGCCCUAGACCCGGGUAUGGUGUGCCUCGGUCCUGGUCUCCAUGGGUCCCACCUCAGGAAGGCUGAUGUGGGGAUGGGAUUAGCGCUCCAGGGGGCCCUCAGAGCCCUGGAGGCACCCACACUAAAUCAAACAAUAAAAACAAACAGCAGAAUACAACUUUCAAUGACUGCAUCUCCAUAUGUGAGGAUUUUUAAUAUUUUUUGUCGCUAUGGUGUCAAAUUUAUUUUCUUAAAUAUGUCUAAUUGUUCCUUAAUCAGCAGUUAUUUAAAACACCUCGGCUUCAUCUCAGAUUAAGUAUUUAAUGAUCUGCAAAGGAAGAUUUGAAGAUGCUACUUAACAGAGCUCUUACCCUUUUGCAAUGUGAUCCAUUUCACCUGCUAUCUGUAAGAAAACCAGCUGCUUGGUGCUGUUGUUAAGAAUGAGUUAGGUGAUGCAGGGAGAGAGGGGGAGACUCCAUCCCCACCCUGAGCCUCGUCCCCAUAAGAUGUCUCAGCUUGAGGAAUCCCGAGCUUCUGAGGGAUGCCUCUGGCUGGGGCUGUGGAUACGGGCUCUGGACUCCUUAGCGGUGGGUGAGGCAGCCAAUCUUCACAUUUGUGCUGUUGGCAACCACAGGGAGACUGAUGGAGUCUGGUUUCCACAGCUCUGGCAGCGCUCAACAAACAGGAGCAUUCAUUACUACACACAGCAACACAGAUAGUCAGACACACAAAAACAGGUUGAAGUUUGGGAAGCACUGGGCAGAAUUGUGAUGUUUGAAGCAACUACACCUACUGCCUAAGACUCUUGGUUGUGUUUGGGGAGAGAGAGUUUUGUAUAAGAUUUGUUUCAUUUCUAUUGGGUUAGUUUGCUAUGUCUUACCUGGCAUUUCUGUGUAGGGCACACUCCAGGUUUAUUUCCGGGGGAGAGAUCAGAGCCAUCAAAUUACUGACAACGAAUGAAUGGACGGAUGAAUUGACGGGCACUGAAUUGCUGGAAGACCCAGGUGUUGGGCCAAGGGACUUUACAUUUUCUCUUUUCAUC